rnacentral:lncRNA from 1 species
AUAUAUUUCACUUUCUUGAUCACUUUUCAUAUUCAUCUCCUACAGUUAUUUUGGCUUUAAUUUUUUUAACUUUUUUUUCAUGGAAAAAUCAACUCUUCUUCCUCUUAUCUUCCUUGGGCUAAUCUUGAAUUAUCCAUGGAUGAUUUUAGCUAAUCGUCCUAUCGAUUUUUCGGGUAAUAAUUCGUUAUCAUCGUCGUCAAAUGAGAAAUCCAUAAUGGUAGUUAAUAAUAAUCCUCACAAAAUAUCGAAUGACCAACAAUAUAUGGAUGAUGCUCAUGAUGUUCCUGAAGGUUCAAAUCCAGGGCCACCUAAUGCCUUAAUUUAAUUAAAAAAAGAAAAAAAGUGGUAUAAAAAUCCUGUUAAUAAUGGAUGAAUAUUGUUAUAUGUUAAUGUAUACCAUGACCAAAAACUAUAUACUAAGUGUAAUAUUUUGCCUCCUUGUUUAUUAUGUUUCUAAAGAGGUGUGUUAACAUGUUGUUAUGCUAUGUAUGUGUAUGAAUAUAUAUAUAAAUGAUGAAUAUAUAUAAG